UGUAUUAAACUUUCCUUUUUAAUUUUUCUAUUACUUUUUUCAAAGUUCUUAUUUAUUAGUCGUUUUAAUAAUUUCUAAACAUUUUUAAGCAUAGCUAUUAUAAAAAUGUUAGGCAUGUGAUACUAUGAUUGGAUUGGAAAUUGAUGCUUGUUAAAUUUGGUCCAUGUUUGAAGAUUAAGCUCGAAGUACACAAGGAUUGGGUUGGCACAAGCGAUAUUGAAGGCUGUUUAGAGUUUAAAUUGGAGAAUUGAUGAUGAGUUUGGAGCUAUCAACUCGAAGAAUUACAUUGUUUGAGGAUGAUUCUUGGGCUAAUUAUAACUUUCUUAUUUAUGCAGCGAUGACCCCAUGGAGGGUGGGCAAACUGCUACUGGUGCAUUAUUAGAUUACAUCAUAGAAAACCAUAUUGCUUCACCUCGUCUCGCAAACUGUGUUGCUUCUCAAAUUAGGAUAUCAGUUCCGGCAUAUACAGAUUUAAUUAAAUUAUAUUUUUACGCAGUACUACGGCUUAAGUGAUUCCCAAAGUUGUUAAAGGCACACCUGGGGUGCAAGGUGCACGAAGCACAAGCCCUAGCACCUCAAAUGCUAAAAGGGUUUACUUUUAAUUCACAGGUUUUUUAGUGUAUCACUUGUUCUAUUCUUUGUUUCAUUGCAUUCUUCAGCUGGUGGAAUUUCAACAUUCAUUACCAAGGGUACAGUUUCCAUAUCCACCGAACUAAAGGAGGAUUUAAAUAUUGAUGUUAGUCAAACUGAUUCUCCUAUGGGUUCUGGCGAUUGGGGUAACCAUGGAUGGUUUUACAUUUCUGUGAGAAUUGGUUUAUUUCUCUGGGUUGCUCUGCUUAAUCUUAUUACUAUAUCUUCAACUUGGGCUAGAGUAAUUGAUGUGAUGGAUAGUGAGUAAGGUUCAAGACUGUUUGGGUUCAUAGGUGCUGGUGCUACACUUGGACAGCUUUUUGGAUCAUUAUUUGCCACAGGAAUGGCUUGGUUUUUCAAUCAUAUGAUAUAAAGCUUCCACAUUUUUAUUUAUCUUAUGUUGCUUUAAACCAUGGGCUGGUUCUUUGUAGUUCUACUUUUAUUUGCGGCUUUGUUGAUGGAACUUGCAGCACAGGCAUCGAAAGGAAUUAAGAAAGAUAUGUUUGAACUUCCUGAAGAAUUAUCUCCUAUAAAGGUCAUCUAUCUUUUUGUAUUUCUUUGCUUCAUGUACUAUGUGUUAGUUGCUAUAAGUUGAAUAUUUGUAUAGUUGGGAGUUGCCAUAGGCACUGAUCCAUUUAUGUGAUUUGCUCUGGAAUGAGUACCUAAUGUUGAGAUUAACAAAUUACAACUAGUUGCUAAAAGCAUCUUGAUAGCUGCAGAUGAGAUUGUGUAUUGUAUCAUAUUUAUAUAAUAGAAGACAUGUCAAUGCAUGCACACAUGAAUGAGCCAUGGCUUGUGUCUAGUGAUUAGUUGUAUAGUCUAUCCGUCCAUAUGUAGGUCUUGUCCUAGAUGCAUCUGAAACCUUUCCUUUCAACAAUAUAUGGUGAAAUGAUCAUGAAUUUUAUUU